rnacentral:rRNA from 1 species
GGAUUAACGCUAGCGGCAGGCCUAAUACAUGCAAGUCGAACGGCAGCACGGGUAGCAAUACCUGGUGGCGAGUGGCGCACGGGUGCGUAACGCGUAUGCAAUCUACCUGUAACUGGGGAAUAGCCUUCCGAAAGGAAGAUUAAAACCGCAUAAUAUCACGAGACGGCAUCGCCUUGUGAUCAAAUCUCCGGAGGUUACAGAUGAGCAUGCGUGACAUUAGCUAGUUGGUGAGGUAACGGCCCACCAAGGCGACGAUGUCUAGGGGGUCUGAGAGGAUGAUCCCCCACACUGGUACUGAGACACGGACCAGACUCCUACGGGAGGCAGCAGUAAGGAAUAUUGGACAAUGGCCGCAAGGCU